rnacentral:rRNA from 1 species
UACGUAGGGGCGAGCGUUGUCCGGAAUCAUUGGGCGUAAAGAGCGUGUAGGUGGCUUGGAAAGUCUUACGAUGAAAGCCUGCGGCUCAACCGCAGAAGUGCGUGGGAAACUUCCUCGCUAGAGUCCGGAAGAGGAGAGCGGAAUUCCUGGUGUAGCGGUGGAAUGACGCAGAUAUCAGGAGGAACACCCGUGGCGAAGGCGGCUCUCUGGGACGGUACUGACACUGAGACGCGAAAGCGUGGGGAGCGAACAGG